CCGUUGUUCUCAUUAUUUGUUGUUCUUGGUUGCGUUUCUGUGAUCAGAUCAGACACUUGUUAUGGACAGAAGGAAAUUUCUCUUAUAUCAAGUAUAGAGUCCACUUUAAAUACUUUGAAAAACAGUUUGAAAGAAAAAUCCACUGGGUGUCCAUCGGGAUGGAAGGAGUACAAGAAUCAUUGCUAUUAUACUUCACCUGACGUUACAACUUAGUAUAAAGCUAAGGAUCUUUGCAAACAAACGGGUGGGUACCUAGCACAGAUUACAGAUUCUGCUGAAGAUGCAUGGGUCGCAAACUUGUUGAGAAGAGCCGUCCAGCAUGGCAAAGGCUACUGGAUGGGAGCGGAAGACUUUACUGAUGGAAUAUUGAGGUGGAGCAAUGACUCGUCUAGAGUUCAUUAUACCCAUUGGAAUAGGCAUGAACCAAGCCAUAGUACAGAGCAUUGUGUUCACUUUUGGAGAGCUGCAAAUUAUAGAUGGAAUGAUGUUCACUGCACACAAGGACAUAUUGGAUACCUAUGCGAGAAAACAAAGUGAUCCAGUUGACUUCCUUACUCCAAACUAAUGAAAACUUUGACAAGAAGGAAAGCAAAAGAUGCAGAU